UACGAAGGGGGGCUAGCGUUGCUCGGAAUUACUGGGCGUAAAGGGCGCGUAGGCGGAUGUUUAAGUCGGGGGUGAAAGCCCGGGGCUCAACCUCGGAAUUGCCUUCGAUACUGGACAUCUUGAGUACGGGAGAGGUGAGUGGAACUCCGAGUGUAGAGGUGAAAUUCGUAGAUAUUCGGAAGAACACCAGUGGCGAAGGCGACUCACUGGCCCGUUACUGACGCUGAGGCGCGAAAGCGUGGGGAGCGAACAGG
rnacentral:rRNA from 1 species